rnacentral:rRNA from 1 species
ACAUACGACCAUAGAUGGUAGAAAACUCGGGAUCCCGUCCCUUCCCAAGAUACGCUACCAGGGGUUGACUAGUAGUUGGGUCGGUGACGACCAGCGAAUCCCAGGUGUUGUAUGUU